rnacentral:tRNA from 1 species
GCAGUCAUGUAGCGACUUAGGCGACAGACUCGAAAUCUGUUUUCCCUCUGGAGCACAGGUUCGAAUCCUGUUGCUGCG